rnacentral:rRNA from 1 species
GUCGAACGAACUUCCGCUGUAAUUGAUUAUGACGUGCUUGCACUGAAUGAGAUUUUAACACGAAGUGAGUGGCGGACGGGUGAGUAACACGUGGGUAACCUGCCCCGAAGCAGGGGAUAACACCUGGAAACAGAUGCUAAUACCGUAUAACAGAGAAAACCGCCCGGUUUUCUUUUAAAAGAUGGCUCUGCUAUCACUUCUGGAUGGACCCCCGGCGCACUAGCUAGUUGGUGAGGUAACGGCUCCCCCAGGCCAUGAUGCGUAGCCCACCUGAGAGGGUAAUCCGCCACCUUGGGACUGAGACCCGGCCCAGACCCCCACCGGAGGCAGCAGUAGGGAAUCUUCCACAAUGGACGCAAGUCUGAUGGAGCAACGCCCCGUGAGUGAAGAAGGGUUUCGGCUCGUAAAGCUCUGUUGUUAAAGAAGAACGUGGGUGAGAGUAACUGUUCACCCCGUGACGGUAUUUAACCAGAAAGCCACGGCUAACUACCUGCCAGCAGCCGCGGUAAUACGUAGGUGGCAAGCGUUAUCCCGAUUUAUUGGGCGUAAAGCGAGCGCAGGCCGUCUUUUAAGUCUAAUGUGAAAGCCCUCCGCUCACCCAAGAAGUGCAUUGGAAACUGGGAGACUUGAGUGCAGAAAAGGACAGUGGAACUCCUGUGUAGCGGUGAAAUGCGUAGAUAUAUGGAAGAACCCCGUGGCGAAAGCCGCUGUCUGGUCUGUAACUGACGCUUAGGCUCGAAAGCAUGGGUAGGCGAACGGGAUUAGAUACCCUGGUGGUCCAGGCGGUAAACGAUGAUUACUAAGUGUGGGAGGGUUUCCGCCCUUCAGUGCUGCAGCUAACGCAUUAAGUAAUCGGCCUGGGGAGUACGACCGCAAGGUUGAAACUCAAAAGAAUGGAGGGGGGCCCGCACCAGCGGGGGAGCAUGUGGUUUAAUUGGAAGCUACGCGAAGAACCUUACCAGGUCUGGACAUCUUCGGCCAACCUAAGAGAUUGGGCGUUCCCUUGGGGGACAGAAUGACGGGUGGUGCAUGGUGGUGGUCAGCUCGGGUCGUGAGAUGUUGGGUUAAGUCCCGCAACGAGCGCAACCCUUAUUACUAGUUGCCAGCAUUCAGUUGGGCACUCUAGUGAGACGGCCGGUGACAAACCGGAGGAAGGUGGGGAGGACGUCAAAUCAUCAUGCCCCUUAUGACCUGGGCUACACACGUGCUACAAUGGAUGGUACAACGAGUCGCGAAACCGCGAGGUUUAGCUAAUCUCUUAAAACCAUUCUCAGUUCGGACUGUAGGCUGCAACUGGCCUACACGAAGUGGGAAUCGCUAGUAAUCGCGGAUCAGCAUGCCGCGGUGAAUACGUUCCCGGGCCUUGUACACACCGCCCGU